rnacentral:lncRNA from 1 species
AUUGUAGAGUGUCCUUCACUCAUCAUUCCUGCAUUCAACAUUCUCAAAAAAAUAUAUGGAACAUUCUCUCAACCGGUUAAGGCUUUUAGAGAGUUGGGCUCUGAUACAACUGUUACAGAAUAUGCCCGGCACUAGAGGGGGGGUGAAUAGUGCGGCAUGAGAAUUUUGAUAAAUAUUGCGGAAUUAAAAACUUGCAGGAAUUAAGUAAGU